AAGAAGUUCGGUACACUGAUGGGCCUGAAUCGUUGCUCUUACCUGUGUUAUAUUUAGGUGAGCAAACUUUCAGGUGUGUUAGUGCCGACUGUGCGACG
rnacentral:pre_miRNA from 1 species